rnacentral:pre_miRNA from 1 species
AGACCUUGAGGGGAGGCAAGAUGUUGGCAUAGCUGUUGACCUAAUAACCUGCUAUGCCAACAUAUUGUCAUCUUUCUUG